rnacentral:lncRNA from 1 species
CCCUUAGUUUUCCCUGCCCCGUUCUCGCUCACUCUUCCUACGCGCAUUGAUGUGCAAUGUGCUCAGGAUAGGGGGGUGAAUGAGAUUGACGAAGAGUUCUUGUUCUGUAUCUCAGUUUUUCUCUUUAUACUCAAAUUAAAUAGUGGGAAAAAUUAUCGGGAAAAUCACAUCAUAUGCAAUGGAGUGUAUUUGGAUAUUAAGUGGAUAAAUACACGCUCUGGGCGUUUUUCGGUGAAGAAGUACUACGGUGUUUGUAAAUAUUUAUUUAAAUAAUUUGUGUGAGAAGAGCAGGGUUGGCUGCUGCUCAAGUGAGUAAAAGAGGAGGCUGCCACCCCCUCAAUGCAAAAUUGGAUGGUGUUCAAAACUGAAGACUGUGUGAAGGCUGAAAGCUGUCCCGGACUGAGCUUCCGACAGAAAGGAUCAAUGAUGGAAUUACAGACCCUCCAAGAGGCCCUGAAAGCGGAAAUACAGGUUCAUCAGGUAAUGGGACUAUGCGUUUCUCUGCUUUUCUGCCAUUUAACCACCAUUUGUUUACUUCCUUAACCUGGAAUGUAUCAUCAGAGGUGUUUUCAGGAGGAAAGUUGAU